rnacentral:lncRNA from 1 species
UGAUGCAGUUUGUUCCACCAAAAGAUAUCCUUGGAAUGUGAUGCUUGCUAGCAAGGUCAUAAGUCCAUGGAAAACUCACGUCUGAGAUUAUGCAAUUUGGCUUUGGAGUGAGCUCUUCAAACAAUUUCUCUACUGGCUUGUGAAGCAAGGUAGUUGCAGCAAAGCAAUUGAAGACCAAGUCUGGUGAAGGUAGCAUGUCGAAGUUUUCGCAGCCUUCGGGCAAUCCUGCUUCUUCGGCUGGAAAUUUCACUUGGAUUACUCGAAUUUGGAGCCCAGAUUCUAGGUCUCGAGUAAGAACUGUUUGAAAUCGGGCUGCAUUGUGGGGUGUGGUGAAUAUGGUGACAAUGAUGCCUUGUUGUGCAAACAAUCUAGCAAUGUCUAUCAAUGGGAUCAUGUGGCCUGAAGCCAUUAGAGGAAAGAACACAAAGUGAAGCUGGUGGUCUUGAUGAGAAGCCAUGUAAGUUAAGAGGAAGGGAUGAACAACAAUAAUGUUCUAUGAAUUAAGCAGGCUUAAGUCUCUUAUUUAAGUACUGAUACAUCAAAGCUUUGAUGCUACCACUCAAUUGUUCUUUGUUGGUGACGUAAGCGCAUACCUAUACAUUAUUAAGUUUAUCCAAAGAAGAUUCUAAUGACUCAAGAGUAGCAAAGAGGUUUGUGGACUGUUUCCUAUGACCUUUCUCUUUCAUGUACUAAGACAAACUUACAGGGGGCCACUACUAAGCCCAAAGUUGCAUUGAUACGUUGAAUACGAAAAUAUCAUGGUGAUUGGCCCCACAAGAUAUGGUGUGAGAAGUUUUGCAGCAGCCAACUUUGACUAUGGCUAAAGAAAUUCUUCAUUGUGAAGUAGCAGAUUGUGAGAUGUAAGCAUUAUGUGAGUACCCAUUGCAUUGGUUUGUGCAGGGAGGACAGAAAAGACUAAGGGUGUGUUUUGCACCGAUACGCCAAAAAUUGGGGGUAUGCCCGUAUUAGAUAGGGCUCCGAUACAAUACAGCAUCGAUAUGGCAUCAAUACAUACGGCUCCGAUACUCCAUCCAUACAGUCACGAUACGGCUCCAUAGACUUUAAGUCUCUUUUGGCUGGGUGAUUUGAGUUCCAAUGGAUCCAUCCAAUCCAAGUGUGGAGUUUUUAUCUUAAACAUCUAAAUGAACGUAAUAACAUUCCAAAUCAACCUAAGGACAGUAAUGAGAACAAUAAUAUUAAAAUAAACAACUGCCUUACAAUCAUUACAGAACAGAAUGUAUGCAGUAAGCAGUAUGCUUGAGAAAAGAACAUUCAAACUAACAUUCAAACUCUUCUUAGUUUCUUUUUAUGCAGUUAGUUCUUUGAUCUCUUGGAUUAGCUGUUUAAUGUUGAGGUCAGAAGAUCCACCUUCUGCUACCGCUCUCUUUGCCAUCUCUGCUAACUCUCUGGCUCUCUCUCUUCUCCCUUGGCUUUCUUCUCCGUCCAUCAAUUUCUCUAUGGCCUCCUUCACCUUUUCCUUUCUUACCACCACCCUAAUCUUCUCCUCCUCUCCCCAUUUCACUGGAAAUUCCACCCCAACUCUCACUGCAAUCUUUAGAAUCUGUUCAACAAGUUUCUCAUUCAGAAAUUGGUCCCCAAACAUUGGCCAUGUGAGCAAAGGCACCCCAGCACAAAUCCCUUCCAAUGUGGAAUUCCAGCCACAAUGUGUCAAGAACCCACCAACUGCAGGGUGUGAUAAUAUGAGUGUCUGCGGAGCCCAACCCCGAAUCACGAUGCUCCUUGCUUCAUUCCUUUCCUCAAAUCCACUUUCUGCAAUCCACUUCUCCAAUUCCUGUGUUUCAUUGCAACCCCUUACAACCCAAAUGAACGGUUUAUUCGACACCUCUAAUGCCAAUCCAAUCUCUAUCAACUGUUCAGAGCUGAGGUUACACAUACUUCCAAGGCAAACAUAAAUUACAGAAGCUGGUGCCCUUGAGUCAAGCCACUUGAAGCUAUGAAGCUCAUCAAUGGACACCUUGUUACCUCUUUGUGCCUUGUCCAAGUCAUCCUUGUUGCAUAGGGAAGCAGGGCCAAUGCACCAGAGUUUAUCCUUUGUUACCUUGUAUGCUUGAACAUAUGCUGGCUCCAAUUCCUCAAAAGUAUUCAUGAUCAUCGCAUAUGUCUCAGUCUCAGUUGCUAUUAUUUUGUCAAGAAAAUCUUUCAGUCUUGCUGUCACUGUCCCCUCUGGAAGCUGAGCUUUCGUCAUCUCAAUUCGAUCAGGCAGGUUGGGCAGAACAAGGUACUCUGAAUCAGACGUUACACUCUCAAGCACGUUGGAUACACGCAAAUUGUGAACGCACAAGUCAGAAAAGCAGCCUCUUCCAGAGAAAGAUAUCCUUGGAAUGUGAUACUUUCUGGCAAUGCUGGUUGUCCAUGUUAAACACAUGUCUGAGAUUAUGCAGUUUGGCUUUGGAGUUAGCUCUUCAAACAAUUUCUCUACUGGCUUGUGAAGCAAGGUAGUUGCAGCAGAGAGAUUGACGACCAAGUUUGGUGAAGGUAGCAUGUCGUAGUUUUCGCAGCCUUCGGGCGAUCCUACUUCUUCGGCUGGAAAUUUCACUUGGAUUAUGCGGAUUUGGAGACUAGAUUCUAGGUCUCGAGUAAGAACUGCUUGAAAUCGGGUUGCAUUGUGGGGUGUGGUGAAUAUGGUGACAAUGAUGCCUUGUUGUGCAAACAAUCUAGCAAUGUCUAUCAAUGGGAUCAUGUGGCCUGAAGCCAUUAGAGGAAAGAACACAAAGUGAA